rnacentral:rRNA from 1 species
ACGAACGCUGGCGGCGUGCUUAACACAUGCAAGUCGAACGGAAAGGCCUGCUUUCCCUUGUGGAUUGCGGGUACUCGAGUGGCGAACGGGUGAGUAACACGUGAGUGAUCUGCCCCCAACUUGGGUAUAAGCCUGGGAAACUGGGUCUAAUUCCCGAUAGGACUGCAGGGUGGUGCCUGUGGUGGAAAACGAUUUUCUAGUGGUUGGGGAUGAGCUCGCGGUCUAUCAGCUUGUUGGUGGGGUAAUGGCCUACCAAGGCGGCGACGGGUAGCCGGCCUGAGAGGGUGGACGGCCACAUUGGGACUGGGAUACGGCCCAGACUCCUACGGGAGGCAGCAGUGGGGAAUAUUGCACAAUGGGCGGAAGCCUGAUGCAGCGACGCCGCGUGGGGGAUGACGGCCUUCGGGUUGUAAACUCCUUUCGACCGCGAGGAAGCCACCUGGUUGGAAGGGUGGUGACGGUAGAGGUAGAAGAAGCACCGGCUAACUACGUG